rnacentral:misc_RNA from 1 species
AUACAUAAGAGAAUGAAGAGAGAAAGAAUGCCCUGCUAACAUCUAAACAUUACAUGGCUGGCCAGUAUUCAUAUAAACUUUUAAAACCAACCUUAAAAAUAUUGAAAAAGGCUUUAUAUUGGCUAGUACUCAUACACUAAGUUCCAAUUGCUAAUUCAGAAAAUUGAUUGAUACCCAUAUUGUCUAUAAUUUUUUUGGCUAAAUAUAGUUAGUAAAUACAAAAUUACUUAAAUAUUCAUGUCAAAAUCAUGAGUGAAGAGAGUACAUGAAAUAUAAGUAAUUGCACCAUUACUAACCAUAUAGCUACGUUAUAUUGCAGCAUUGCCCUUCUCGAAUUUUCACAUAAUUGAGCAUGCAUUUGGAUUUUCAUCGCUAAAAAUCUCAAAUGAAUCGGACGGUUGUAAUAGAUCUGAGUCCAAAUCAGUCGAUGGAGGUUCGCUCACCGUCCCCGGAUGAUGCAUGUACGCGUAUGAAUACGACGGGGGAUAGAUUGAUGCACCGUAGCUAGUACUGGGUUGAGCUGCAUUGUAAUGCACUGAAUACACCGAAGGAGGUGCAUAGUUAUGUGGUGGGUAUUGGUACACGUGGUGAUGUGGAGGGCUUUGAUUGGUUGGAUAGUGAAAGGCAGUAGGACCUUGACCAGGACCUUGACUAGGUGAUCCAGUGCCUGCUGGUGCAUCACCAUGAUGUUCACCCUCAUCAAAAUUGACGUUAUUCCCCUUAUGCCCCUUCUUUUUCUUCUUUUUACCUCCGCUGCUACCACCACCACCACUGCCACUUUUCUCAGCACCACCCUCAUUUUCGCUGACGCCUCUGUUGUCAGCCACCGGUGACUGGCUACCGGCCGGUGCGGUCGCAGGUAGUUUCACCUCAAACUUCACCUCCUUCAUUUGUCCACCGGCGGAGGCUUUAGUGGUUGUGCCGCUUUCUCCAGCUUUGCCAACGUUAAUAAUCUCUGCGUUUUUAUGGGUGCUUCCAUUUUCAGUGGCUUUAGAAGGGUCUUGAAUUUGUACUACUUGAGUUUUCACAGUUUCGUUCUCUUUCUCAACCUCUUCAUCACCGCUUUCUUGGUCACUUUGUUUCUCUUUGUCUUUUCCUUUCUUCUUUUUAUUCUUUGAUUUCCCUUUCUUUUUCUCCUUGUGGUCAGGCCAUAGCUCUGCAUGCUUCCCUGCCUUCACCAGUUUCUUGAUCAAAGUAUCUGCAUCUACAUUUCCCAGUACUGUGACCUUCUGUUGUCUUAAAUCAAUGUCUGUGGUGUAAACACCUGCAAAUAAUAGCAAGAGUAUAAAGAAAAAUAUCGUAAAAUCAACCAAGGACUUCACAAUGGCAAAGUAAGCGUGAAAUUGAAUAAAAUGAACAAAACCCAGAUUGGAAUUUAAAAAUCGAGAAACAAGCAAGAGAUUUUUAUGUAAACAGUAAAAUUAAUGGUAGCUCUGAGGAGAGUUUGUAUGUAAGAAAAACCCAGAAGGUUUUAGUAAUUACCGUCGAUGUUUGUCAGGAUCUUUUUAACUUUCCUUUUGCAGCCUUCACAAUGAACGGAGACUUUCAAGACCAAUGUCUUGCACUUGAGAGGUGAUUCUGGGUUUUCUUCCACUACUACUUCUUUAUAAACUUCUGGUUUUGGUUCAGCUUUGGCUUCAAUAUUCUUCACUUCUGCUGCCAUUGGGGGAGGAGAUGAUGGAUACAUGGAUGAGAGUGGCA